ensembl:lncRNA
GAGAGACAGAGAGAGAGACAGAGAUAGAGGGAGAGAGAGAGAGAGAAGGGAAGAGAGAGUGAGAGAGACUAGGCCCUAAGACUGGAAUGGAUUCUGGCUCUGAUGGCCUACAGAUGAAGUAGCAAGAGAGAGGGGGAGGAGGAGGAGAAGGAGGAGGAGGAGGCGGCAGAGAAUGGGGGGCAAGCAGAGGGAGAAAAAAAAAGGGCAGGCGUUGACUGAGGCCUAAACAGGAAGACUGCUCACUGAAUCUUGAAAGAGUGAAGAGAGAGAGAGAGAGAGAGAGAGAGAGAGAGAGAGAGAGAGAGAGAGAGAGAGAGAGAGAGAGAGAGGGAGAGAGAGAGCGAGAAAGCACACCACCACCACCACCACCACCACCUCCACCACCUUCACCGCGGAGCUGGGGGCGUCGUUGCCAGGAGCGACGGCGACGACAUCAUGGAUUAUUUACAGACUGCCUUGAAUUGAGGACCACCGCCGGCGGCACUGGGGGGGUCAGGCAGACAGACGGCUCUCUGUGCAGACCGCAGGCAGACAGGCAGACACAUCUGGGCUGAAUCCGCAGCAGAGCUUCAGAGGAGGAGAAAGGCCCAGCAGGCACAGCGCUAUGCUGGGUGUCGGGAACCAGCUGAAACCGGUUUGAGGCAGACGGAGGGGCUAACAGGAACAAUGGCGUGUCUGUGCUCCACUGAGGGGAAUAGAGACAGAGAGAUGGAACGCUGUAGGUUAACUUUAGCACGUCAAACAGAAGGCCCACGACCGCCACGACCAGCUCGCAGCAUUCUGCCUGCUGACGCCAUCGGCUUGGCUGUGGCUAGCCGAUGCAGCAUAGCUCUCGC